CACGUGGGCAACCUGCCCCGAGCUCUGGGAUAACUCCGGGAAACCGGGGCUAAUACCGGAUAUGACUCGAGAAGACAUCCUCUCGAGUGGAAAGUUUUUCGGCUCGGGAUGGGCCCGCGGCCUAUCAGCUAGUUGGUGGGGUAACGGCCUACCAAGGCGACGACGGGUAGCCGGCCUGAGAGGGCGACCGGCCACACUGGGACUGAGACACGGCCCAGACUCCUACGGGAGGCAGCAGUGGGGAAUAUUGGACAAUGGGGGCAACCCUGAUCCAGCGAUGCCGCGUGUGUGAAGAAGGCC
rnacentral:rRNA from 1 species